GGUAAUAUACACAGUGAGUUGCAUCGAACUGCUUGAAUGGAACAGACUUUAUCUCCUGCCUUUCUAACAGGUGGAGGCCAACUGUAUCAUUUUGCAGAAACUGCUACAUACAUAGUGUCCAUUAUUAUAUAGUAGAUAGCGUGAGACCCACUUUAUCCCUUUCUUAGUUGCUAUUAUUGUUUUAUUUAGAAGAAUUGCAUUGGCCAGCCCCAUUUUAAGUAACAACAAAUAUUCUGCUUUGCUUUUAUGAGAGAGCACCCCCCCCCCCCAUAGUUGGAUAGAAUGAAGAGCAUUAACCUAACCUGGGGCUUUAAAUCACUGUUCACGUUUGAUGAGAAAUGUAUUUAUUUAUUCCUCCUUAAUGUUAUCCUUGCUAUGCACACCGGGAUGAAAUGAUUUUCAAUCCAUUGUCAGGACAUUUCCCACACCAGCAAUUUCCCACACCUUGUAAUGGGUUCAGACAUGUGGCAAUCUGUCUUGGUUCCGUUUGCUAUGAAACGCUUUGUUUUAAAGUGGCAGAAGAAUAAGAAUCUUCCUAUGCACAGCAAGGGAUAUGGCAGUGCCAUGGAAAAGUACGAAAUUCAAAGAGUGAUCUCGAGGUGUCCUAUGAAAGUACCAUUUAUAUAUUUACAUACUGUUGGGUAAAUAAUAAUAAUAAUUUAUUAUUUAUACCCCGCCCAUCUGGCUGAGUUUCCCCAGCCACUCUGGGCGGCUCCCAAUCAGUGUUAAAAACAGUACAGCGUUACAUAUUAAAAACUUCCCUGAACAGGGCUGCCUUAAGAUGUCUUCUGAAUGUCAGGUAAUUAUUUAUCUCUUUGACAUCUGAUGGGAGGGCGUUCCACAGGGCGGGCGCCACUACCGAGAACGCCCUCUGUCUGGUUCCCUGUAGCCUCACUUCUCGCAAUGAGGGAACCGCCAGAAGGCCCUCGGCACUGGAUCUCAGUGUCCGGGCUGAACGAUGGGGGUGGAGACGCUCCUUCAGGUAUACAGGACCGAGGCCGUUUAGGGCUUUAAAGGUCAGCACCAACACUUUGAAUCGUGCUCGGAAACGUACUGGGAGCCAAUGCAGAUCUCUCAGAACCAGUGUUAUGUGGUCCCGGCGGCCACUCCCAGUCACCAGUCUAGCUGCCGCAUUCUGGAUUAAUUGCAGUUUCCGGGUCACCUUCAAAGGUAGCCCCACGUAGAGCGCGUUGCAGUAGUCCAAGCGUGAGAUAACUAGAGCAUGCACCACUCUGGCGAGACAGUUCGCGAGCAGGUAGGGUCUUAGCCUGUGUACCAGGUGGAGCUGUUAGACAGCUGCCCUGGACACAGAGUUAACCUGCGCCUCCUUUCAGCCUAACCUAACUCUCAGAGUUCUGGAGAUUAAAUGAGGGAGAGAACUAUGUGCACCAUCUUGAGCUCCUUGGGGGAAAAGGUGGGGGGGGGGAAUAUAAUAAACUUAAAUAUGCAUUUAUAGCCAUGCAGUCUCAAAACAGGUUAGCUACUAUUACCGUUAGUAAGAUAAUACUAUUUCUUUGACUUAAGCAGUACGGAUACAACUUUGCCCUAUACCAUCACUCAUAGGAGUUAAGUCGUCAGAAAACAAAAGAUUGGGAAGAAAAGUUUUAAAAGGUUUUUGCCUGCAGCUUUUUCCAGUCUCAUGAUCUAACGUGACAGCUCGUCGGUGAUGUCUAUUCCACUUCAAAGAGGCAGGUAGCCUAGGGCCAGCCAGCUGUAUUGUGGAUUCCGUGGAUUUGGCUUGCUGUUCCUGCUGGGUGUCAUCUGUCUUCUUAGUCUUGCAGUGGGUAAUUUUUGUGCUCCCCCUAACAUCAUCUGCCUGAGCAGUUCCUGCCUGGCAGGCCUGUCUGUCCAGGUUGAGCAUCAAAUAUGGUAACCGUAUGACUAAUCUGACAAGGCAACUACUCCAAAGAGUGCAGCCCCAGGCCUGCUCUGACCAGGAUCAUCAUCACAGCCCACAAACUUCCAGCAAUCACGACCACGGUCUCAGUCUUCCAUCACAGAUGCUGCCCAUGGACUUAUUCUGCUCACGCAAUGUAUGUCUCCCUUUCUGCUCACCCCCCCCCAACCCCUCUCUUAAAGGCUGUCAUUCCAAAUCUUUGUGUGUCGUGAGAAGUCUGCCUCAACAGGUUUGGGUUUCCCUGCCUGUUGCCAGCAUUUGACUCAAACACCGCCACUUGGAUGAAACAAUCCUUUAGUGGAUUAUCAUUGCUAGACAGCCUGUGGGAAAAAUGACAGGACUCGGCAUGUUAAUCCGAAGAUUUUACAAUCCAGAAAGCCGCUAACACUAAUCAUAAAUGGCAAGAUGAUCCCUAAAAGAGAAAGCGGGUUCCCUAGCAAGGCAAAAGUGACACAAUUUGUUUAGUAAAUCUUCCCCAAAACUCUAUAUGAUGACUACAUAUGUUGAUUUUCAUGCUCAGAGCCAUAAAUAUUCCCAGAGCUUUA